GAUGAACGCUGGCGGCGUGCCUAAUACAUGCAAGUCGAGCGAAUGGAUUAAGAGCUUGCUCUUAUGAAGUUAGCGGCGGACGGGUGAGUAACACGUGGGUAACCUGCCCAUAAGACUGGGAUAACUCCGGGAAACCGGGGCUAAUACCGGAUAACAUUUUGAACCGCAUGGUUCGAAAUUGAACGGCGGCUUCGGCUGGCACUUAUGGAUGGACCCGCGUCGCAUUAGAUAGUUGGUGAGGUAACGGCUCACCAAGGCAACGAUGCUUAGCCGACCUGAGAGGGUGAUCGGCCCCACUGGGACUGAGACACGGCCCAGACUCCUACGGGAGGCAGCAGUAGGGAAUCUUCCGCAAUGGACGAAAGUCUGACGGAGCAACGCCGCGUGAGUGAUGAAGGCUUUCGGGUCGUAAAACUCUGUUGUUAGGGAAGAACAAGUGCUAGUUGAAUAAGCUGGCACCUUGACGGUACCUAACCAGAAAGCCACGGCUAACUACGUGCCAGCCGCCGCGGUAA
rnacentral:rRNA from 1 species